rnacentral:tRNA from 1 species
CAGGAAGUAGUUUAAGUAGAAUGUCAGCUUUGGGUGCUGAUGGUGGGGGGGUGAACCUUCCUUCCUGA